rnacentral:rRNA from 1 species
AACGAACGCUGGCGGCAGGCUUAACACAUGCAAGUCGAGCGCCCCGCCAGGGGAGCGGCAGACGGGUGAGUAACGCGUGGGAACGUACCUUUUGGUUCGGAACAACUCCGGGAAACUGGAGCUAAUACCGGAUAAGCCCUAACGGGGAAAGAUUUAUCGCCGAAAGAUCGGCCCGCGUCUGAUUAGCUAGUUGGUGAGGUAACGGCUCACCAAGGCGACGAUCAGUAGCUGGUCUGAGAGGAUGAUCAGCCACACUGGGACUGAGACACGGCCCAGACUCCUACGGGAGGCAGCAGUGAGGAAUAUUGGACAAUGGGCGCAAGCCUGAUCCAGCCAUGCCGCGUGAGUGAUGAAGGCCUUAGGGUUGUAAAGCUCUUUUGUCCGGGAAGAUAAGGACUGUACCGGAAGAAUAAGCCCCGGCUAACUUCGU